rnacentral:rRNA from 1 species
AUACGUAGGGGGCGAGCGUUGUCCGGAAUGAUUGGGCGUAAAGGGCGCGUAGGCGGCCCGGUAAGUCUGGAGUGAAAGUCCUGUUUUUAAGAUGGGAAUUGCUUUGGAUACUGUCGGGCUUGAGUGCAGGAUAGGUAAGUGGAAUUCCCAGUGUAGCGGUGAAAUGCGUAGAGAUUGGGAGGAACACCAGUGGCGAAGGCGACUUACUGGACUGUAACUGACGCUGAGGCGCGAAAGUGUGGGGAGCAAACAGGAUUAGAUACCCUGGUAGUCCACACUGUAAACGAUGAAUGCUAGGUGUAGGGGGUAUCGACCCCUUCUGUGCCGCAGUCAACACAAUAAGCAUUCCGCCUGGGGAGUACGGCCGCAAGGUUGAAACUCAAAUGAAUUGACGGGG